UUAUUCCACCUUAAUGUGAAAAUAAGAUCCUGCAAAAUAAAUGCACCAGUAAUGCACACCAUUGGUUAGAUUUUUUUGCUCUCAGUAGACAUACUGGUUCAUUUCAGGAGAUGCAAACAAAUGGAAAAUGCAUUUUGAAUUUAAAGUUUUAUUGCUCUUUUAAAUCGUAGUCAUUCUUUUAAAUGUAAAUUCUUACACUUCAAAAAUUUCUUUUUCACAGGGGUUAUUUUCAGUACAUAUAUAGAAUAAGCUAUUAUUUAACUGAUUUUGUUUAGAAUUCAAUAAACAUCAAGAAAGGAUGCUACAAAGUAGAAAAAUUGAAAUAUUUCUGUGUUGAGUUGGUGAAGAUUGGUUGUUCUCUAUUUUGUUCACAUUUUGAUGAUAAAGAUCUGUAGAUUUGAGGAGUAUUUUUCAAGAUUUUUUUUGUGUGUGUAAUCAUAAUGAAGUUUUCCUACCCUUGCCAAAUCUCAUCAGUAUAUAGCUGCAUUUAAACUCACUUGUUGGUCCUGUUUAGUAAAAUCAAGUACAAAAGAAGCUGUUUGUAAAAAUUCAAUUUCACUUUGUAUUUAUUUUUUCUUUUGUAUGAUCAGUGUUUUAAAGUUCCAUUCUGUUUUCAUCAUGAUAUUAAAAUAUCGAUCAAAUU
rnacentral:misc_RNA from 1 species